CUUAGCAGAGAUGCUUCGGUGCCUUCGGGAACUCUGAGACAGGUGCUGCAUGGCUGUCGUCAGCUCGUGUUGUGAAAUGUUGGGUUAAGUCCCGCAACGAGCGCAACCCUUAUCCUUUGUUGCCAGCGGCUCGGCCGGGAACUCAAAGGAGACUGCCGGUGAUAAACCGGAGGAAGGUGGGGAUGACGUCAAGUCAUCAUGGCCCUUACGGCCAGGGCUACACACGUGCUACAAUGGCGCAUACAAAGAGAAGCGACCUCGCGAGAGCAAGCGGACCUCAUAAAGUGCGUCGUAGUCCGGAUUGGAGUCUGCAACUCGACUCCAUGAAGUCGGAAUCGCUAGUAAUCGUAGAUCAGAAUGCUACGGUGAAUACGUUCCCGGGCCUUGUACACACCGCCCGUCACACCAUGGGAGUGGGUUGCAAAAGAAGUAGGUAGCUUAACCUUCGGGAGGGCGCUUACCACUUUGUGAUUCAUGACUGGGGUGAAGUCGUAACAAGGUAGGCGUAGCGAG
rnacentral:rRNA from 1 species